GGUUGCGAUCAUACCAGCACUAAUUCCCCAGAUCCCAUCAGGACUCCGUAGUUAAGCGUGCUUGGGUGAGAGUAGUACUAGGAUGGGUGACCCCCUGGGAAGUCCUCGUGUUGCAACUC
rnacentral:rRNA from 1 species